rnacentral:rRNA from 1 species
UACGGAGGGGGCUAGCGUUGUUCGGAAUUACUGGGCGUAAAGCGCACGUAGGCGGCUUUGUAAGUCAGAGGUGAAAGUCCGGGGCUCAACUCCGGAAUUGCCUUUAAGACUGCAUCGCUAGAAUUGUGGAGAGGUAAGUGGAAUUCCGAGUGUAGAGGUGAAAUUCGUAGAUAUUCGGAAGAACACCAGUGGCGAAGGCGGCUUACUGGACACAUAUUGACGCUGAGGUGCGAAAGCGUGGGGAGCAAACAGG